GGGGGUAUAGCUCAGUGGUAGAGUGCUUGACUGCUGAUCAAGUGGUUCUUGGCUCAAACCCCAGUAUCCUCU